rnacentral:rRNA from 1 species
GACGAACGCUGGCGGCGUGCUUAACACAUGCAAGUCGAGCGAGGUCCACUCGGUGGCAACACCGGGGAAGACCUAGCGGCGAACGGGUGAGUAACACGUGAGCAACCUCGCCCCGAAGACCGGGAUAACACCGGGAACCGGUGCUAAUACCGGAUGUCCUCAUUGGGCCGCAUGGUCUGAUGAGGAAAUGGAUUCCGCGGUUCGGGGG